rnacentral:lncRNA from 1 species
AUGGAUGAGAGGCCAUAUGGAAGGGCUCACGCGAAAAUACCCUGCACAAGCGAGGGGGCCUGCGAGCGAAGCAGACGUGCAAGAGCAGACGCGGCUUUUCCACCCGCUGCCUCCCGUCACCAUGGCUUGUUUCAGAAGAAAAAGGCGAACCGAGAAGACACGCGCGGUGGUACCUGGAGAAGCUGUUUAGGAGCAUCGCAGCUGUGCCUCAGACGUACGUGGCUUUUCUCAUGUCUGGUUUUGCAGCCUCCUCCAGGAGCGCUGUCUGUGUGCUGCUCAUCCCGUGCCGGCUGGGCACCUCGCCACAGCCUUGGGAUCCGAUCCCAAUGGGAUCCGCAGGGCACGGUGGCACCGGUGCAAGCCCUGGAGAGGCUGAAGCUGGGGGCUGGAGAGCUGCAGAUGGGGGGGGACAUUUGUGUCACUGGUGUGGCACCGUGGGACCAGUCCCUGCACCAUGGGGUGUGCUUCACCGCUGGGUUUGUUCGCUCCAAAGGCUUCUCGGGGGCUGUGGUGGCUGCCCCUGUUAUGGGGCAGCGUGUCGGUCCUUUACGCAUCCGCUGUGCCUCUCUGCUUGCUGCUGCCCUGGCUCCCGGGUGUCCUGGGUGGAGAGAGGCAGCUGCUUUCUGCUCCGUGCUCACGGAGGGGGCUUGGUCUCAACGGGGGCUGUGCUGCAGCGGGGUCUGCCCCCAGUCCCACCGGGCUGGCAGCCAGCAUCGUGCUCGCUGUCCUGGCAGUUGCGGCCAGGCUGAAAGCAAAAACAAAGCGGCAGCAAACACCGCUUGGAGGCAUCGCCUGCCUCUCUGGCAAGAGCCUCUGCUGGGGCCAGGCCAGCCGGGUGCCCGCUGUCCUUGGCUCUCCAGGGCUUCGUCUCGAUGCGAGGGCUGGUCUGAGUCCAUGAGGGAUGUGAAUGCAACAGAAAGACAUCGACUAAAACUGGGUUCGGGCUCAAUGUGCACACUCCUCCGGGCACAGGAUGGCUCUCCUGUGGCUUUUUCUGCUCCACGCUGGGUCUGUCGAGUGACCUGGCUCGGUUCAGCGGAGGAGUGGUGCCCGUAG